rnacentral:rRNA from 1 species
AGGACGAACGCUGGCGGCGUGCUUAACACAUGCAAGUCGAGCGGAAAGGCCCUUCGGGGUACUCGAGUGGCGAACGGGUGAGUAACACGUGAGUAAUCUGCCCUUAGCUCUGGGAUAGCUCCGGGAAACCGGGAUUAAUACCAGAUACGACCACUUUAGACAUCUGCCGUGGUGGAAAGAAUUUCGGCUAAGGAUGAGCUCGCGGCCUAUCAGCUUGUUGGUGGGGUAACGGCCUACCAAGGCGACGACGGGUAGCCGGCCUGAGAGGGCGACGGCCACGACCUGGGACUGAGACACGGCCCAGACUCCUACGGGAGGCAGCAGUGGGGAAUCUUGCGCAAUGGGCGGAAGCCUGACGCAGCGACGCCGCGUGGGGGAUGAAGGCCUUCGGGUUGUAAACCCCGUUUCAGCAGGGACGAAGCGAAAGUGACGGUACCUGCAGAAGAAGCGCCGGCUAACUACGUGCCAGCAGCCGC